rnacentral:rRNA from 1 species
UACGAAGGGGGCUAGCGUUGCUCGGAAUCACUGGGCGUAAAGGGUGCGUAGGCGGAUUCUUAAGUCAGGGGUGAAAUCCUGGAGCUCAACUCCAGAACUGCCUUUGAUACUGAGAGUCUCGAGUUCGGGAGAGGUGAGUGGAACUGCGAGUGUAGAGGUGAAAUUCGUAGAUAUUCGCAAGAACACCAGUGGCGAAGGCGGCUCACUGGCCCGAUACUGACGCUGAGGCACGAAAGCGUGGGGAGCAAACAGG